CAGUCGCCACGGUAAUACGAAGGGGGCUAGCGUUGCUCGGAAUGACUGGGCGUAAAGGGCGCGUAGGCGGAUUGCGCAGUCAGAUGUGAAAUUCCUGGGCUUAACCUGGGGGCUGCAUUUGAGACGCGUAGUCUAGAGUGUGAAAGAGGGUCGUGGAAUUCCCAGUGUAGAGGUGAAAUUCGUAGAUAUUGGGAAGAACACCGGUGGCGAAGGCGGCGACCUGGUUCAUAACUGACGCUGAGGCGCGAAAGCGUGGGGAGCAAACAGGAUUAGAUACCCCCGUAGUCCCUGUCUCUUAUAC
rnacentral:rRNA from 1 species